GAUGAACGCUGGCGGCAGGCUUAACACAUGCAAGUCGAGCGCCCCGCAAGGGGAGCGGCAGACGGGAGAGUAACACGUGGGAACGUACCCUUUAGUUCGGAACAACCCAGGGAAACUUGGGCUAAUACCGGAUACGUCCGUAAGGAGAAAGAUUUAUCGCUAAAGGAUCGGCCCGCGUCUGAUUAGCUAGUUGGUGAGGUAACGGCUCACCAAGGCGACGAUCAGUAGCUGGUCUGAGAGGAUGAUCAGCCUCACUGGGACUGAGACACGGCCCAGACUCCUACGGGAGGCAGCAGUGGGGAAUAUUGGACAAUGGGCGCAAGCCUGAUCCAGCCAUGCCGCGUGGGUGAUGAAGGCCCUAGGGUUGUAAAGCCCUUUCGGCGGGGAAGAUAAUGACGGUACCCGCAGAAGAAGCCCCGGCUAACUUCGUGCCAGCCGCCGCCGUAA
rnacentral:rRNA from 1 species